AACCUGCGCAUGCUCCGUGGCUCUGGCGUCCCUUCGUUAGGGCUUUCCUACUCUUUUCCAGGCAACACGCUUGCUGGCCCGGCGGCUCGCUUCUGGCCCCGAGUCACACCUGUUGGGUUCAGCAUCUGCACAGGAAGGCGUCUUCAGGCCUCAAUCAAGGGCUGCCUCCCUGCUUUCUCACAAUACAGGUCCUGGAGGGCCCGUGCACACCGAGAGAUAGCUUUCCUGUGAAAAAGGUUUCCAGUGGUUACAGAGGAUGCAUCCCUGAAUAAAAUAGAACCGCCCUGUGGCACUCAGCUCCAACUGGGGAGAUGCACAUUAGCUGUGCCUCUUCUCUGGGUGGACACGUGUAUGGCGAUUUGGAUUCCAGUCUCAAUUCUGCUGGGUGACCCUGGACAAAUAAGUAGCCUCAGUUUCCUCAUCUGUAAAGUUGGGGUGGCCUUGGAGAUUUGAUGACCUCAUGCAUGGAGAGCACGGGUCCGGCACUUAAACUGCUAUUAUUACAUCAUGAUCGUGCCUGCGCAACUAGCA